AAGCAUGUGCGCUCUCUCUCUCUCUCUCUCUCUCUCUCUCUCUCUCUCACACACACACACACAGAGAGAGAGAGAGAGAGAGAGAGAGAGAGACUGUUCUUUUG